GACGAACGCUGGCGGCGUGCUUAACACAUGUAAGUCGAACGGAAAGGCCCUGCUUUUGUGGGGUGCUCGAGUGGCGAACGGGUGAGUAACACGUGAGUAACCUGCCCUUGACUUUGGGAUAACUUCAGGAAACUGGGGCUAAUACCGGAUAGGAGCUCCUGCUGCAUGGUGGGGGUUGGAAAGUUUCGGCGGUUGGGGAUGGACUCGCGGCUUAUCAGCUUGUUGGUGGGGUAGUGGCUUACCAAGGCUUUGACGGGUAGCCGGCCUGAGAGGGUGACCGGCCACAUUGGGACUGAGAUGCGGCCCAGACUCCUACGGGAGGCAGCAGUGGGGAAUAUUGCACAAUGGGCGGAAGCCUGAUGCAGCAACGCCGCGUGCGGGAUGACGGCCUUCGGGUUGUAAACCGCUUUCGCCUGUGACGAAGCGUGAGUGACGGUAAUGGGUAAAGAAGCACCGGCUAACUACGUG
rnacentral:rRNA from 1 species